GGUGUCGUAGUUAUAUUACGACACCGGUUUUAAUUUAACAUAUUAAACCGUUUUUAAACCGGUUUUAAAGACUUUUUCAGAAUUAAAAAAAAAAGAAAAAAAAUAAAUCCAAAGUCUGAGUUCAAAGUUCAAACACGUCAUUAGCCCUAAACCCCUUUCUGCCGCCUACCAUCUUCUUCCAAAGUUUCAGCCCUAAACACGUCGAUCUCUCCGGCGCCGAUUCACGCCGACCAACGCCACUCGUUCCUUCCGCCGCCGUCGUUAUCUCAACAAUCAACGAAGCCACGAACCACGUUCUCUACCGCCUCGCUCCAAUCUUAAAUCCGUAGGUGUCCCUGCCGUCGUCGCCGCCCCAAUCUCCACCGGUCAGCAAGCAACGAAAAUCGACGCUGCUCUGAGCCUUUGUCCGAUCCCCCUAGCGCCGUGCUUCGCCGCUGCUUUGAGCUGCUGUACUCCAGAAACGCCGUUGCUCUGAAGCUUUCUCCGGUCUCCGCCACCGCUGCUCUGAGCCUUUGUUCGAUCGCCCUAGCUUGCUCUGGUUUACCUUGUUGUACACCAGACGGCGAAUGUUGUAAUUGCUAACAUACUAGACGAGGCAGGAGCAGAAGUAGCAGCUGAAAUCAGAGGGCAGUACUCUUCCGGUCUGCUCUCGACUUAGCCGCUGCUGUGAGGCUUUCUUUGGUCGCUGCUCCUUGAGGUUAGUUUAUGUGUAGCUUAAUUUCAUUAUUAAUUACUGGCAGAAAAUCAAUUUUAUGCUGCACUACAAUCUUGUUUCAUCCGAGUAUAAUUCUUUGCUUGUAACUAAGAUGUUCAAAUUUUAUGCUGCACUACAAUCUUGUUUCAUCCGAGUAUAAUUCUUUGCGCGCAUUGAGCUUCUGAUCUGCCUUUCUCUACCCUGGUCCGACGUGCUUCGUUGCCACCCUGAGCCUUUCUCGGGUCGUCCAGUCGUGACUACAUUUUCCUAAUAGAGGCUUUGCUUUCUGGUUGCUUUGUUGGGGGUUUGGCCACCUUUCUACAUUUUGACAACUUCACUAGUUAUUUGCCACAAAAUGCAAGUGCCAAGUGCCUAAGUGAUGCAGGGUUUUUCUUGAUGCAAUAGAUAUGACCAAUAUAGCAAAUACUAUAAUGCAGCAAUUGACAAGAUUGAGGAGCACUAUUCAGAGGCAAUAUGAUGAAUGGUAGCUUGGGAAGCAAAGGGGAAAAAAAAUUAAUUGUUGAAAAGUUGAGGCUUGAAGAACAUUGCAUCUUUGGAAUUUUGAUUUUGAAACUUGCUAUUAGAUUUUUGAUAAGUUAUUAGAUUCAUAGUUGGAAAUUGAUGCAAAUCAUUCUAGAUGAUUGUUAGAUUUUGAAAAAUUGUUAGACUCAUAGUUGAAACAUUUUAGAUAAUUGUAAUGAAUGUAAAUGAUAAUUAGAUGUGUAAAUCCAUAUUUGAUGUUUAUUAUUUUUA